GGGUGCAUAGCUCAGUUGGUUAGAGCGCCACGUUUACACCGUGGAUGUCAGAGGUUCGAAUCCUCUUGCGCCCA
rnacentral:tRNA from 1 species